GCCGGUGUAGCUCAGUCGGUAGAGCACCUGAUUUGUAAUCAGUAGGUCGCGGGUUCAAAUCCCGCCGCCGGCC
rnacentral:tRNA from 1 species